rnacentral:rRNA from 1 species
AGAGCAUGAUUGGGCGUAAAGGGCGCGUAGGCGGACAUUUAAGUCAGGGGUGAAAUCCCGGGGCUCAACCUCGGAACUGCCUUUGAUACUGGGUGUCUUGAGUGUGAGAGAGGUAUGUGGAACUCCGAGUGUAGAGGUGAAAUUCGUAGAUAUUCGGAAGAACACCAGUGGCGAAGGCGACAUACUGGCUCAUUACUGACGCUGAGGCGCGAAAGCGUGGGGAGCAAACAGGAUUAGAUACCCUGGUAGUCCACGCCGUAAACGAUGAUUGCUAGUUGUCGGGGAGCUUGCUCUUCGGUGACGCAGCUAACGCAUUAAGCAAUCCGCCUGGGGAGUACGGUCGCAAGAUUAAACUUAAAAAAUUGACGG